AGUGAACGCUGGCGGUAGGCCUAACACAUGCAAGUCGAACGGUAGCACAGUAAGAGCUUGCUCUUACGGGUGGCGAGUGGCGGACGGGUGAGGAAUACAUCGGAAUCUACUUUUUCGUGGGGGAUAACGUAGGGAAACUUACGCUAAUACCGCAUACGACCUACGGGUGAAAGCAGGGGAUCUUCGGACCUUGCGCGAUUGAAUGAGCCGAUGUCGGAUUAGCUAGUUGGCGGGGUAAAGGCCCACCAAGGCGACGAUCCGUAGCUGGUCUGAGAGGAUGAUCAGCCACACUGGAACUGAGACACGGUCCAGACUCCUACGGGAGGCAGCAGUGGGGAAUAUUGGACAGUGGGCGCAAGCCUGAUCCAGCCAUACCGCGUGGGUGAAGAGGCCUUCGGGUUGUAAAGCCCUUUUGUUGGGAAAGAAAAGCAGCAGGUUAAUACCCCGCUGUUCUGACGGUACCCAAAGAAUAAGCACCGGCUAACUUCGUG
rnacentral:rRNA from 1 species